CAGUCGCCGCGGUAAUACGGAGGGAGCUAGCGUUGUUCGGAAUUACUGGGCGUAAAGCGCACGUAGGCGGCGAUUUAAGUCAGAGGUGAAAGCCCGGGGCUCAACCCCGGAACUGCCUUUGAGACUGGAUUGCUAGAAUCUUGGAGAGGCGGGUGGAAUUCCGAGUGUAGAGGUGAAAUUCGUAGAUAUUCGGAAGAACACCAGUGGCGAAGGCGGCCCGCUGGACAAGUAUUGACGCUGAGGUGCGAAAGCGUGGGGAGCAAACAGGAUUAGAUACCCCAGUAGUCCCUGUCUCUUAUAC
rnacentral:rRNA from 1 species